rnacentral:rRNA from 1 species
GGUUAAGUUAGAAAGGGCGCACGGUGGAUGCCUUGGCACUAGGAGCCGAAGAAGGACGGGACUAACACCGAUAUGCUUUGGGGAGCUGUACGUAAGCGUUGAUCCAGAGAUUUCCGAAUGGGGGAACCCACUAUCUUUAGUCGGAUAGUAUCCUUACGUGAAUACAUAGCGUGAGGAAGGCAGACCCAGGGAACUGAAACAUCUAAGUACCUGGAGGAAGAGAAAGAAAAAUCGAUUUCCUGAGUAGCGGCGAGCGAAACGGAAAGAGCCCAAACCAAGAAGCUUGCUUCUUGGGGUUGUAGGACACUCUAUACGGAGUUACAAAAGAAAGUUAUAAAUGAAGCGGUCUGGAAAGGCCCGCCAAAGACGGUAACAGCCCGGUAGUUGAAAUGGCUUUCCCUCCAGAGUGGAUCCUGAGUACGGCGGAACACGUGAAAUUCCGUCGGAAUCCGGGAGGACCAUCUCCCAAGGCUAAAUACUCCCUAGUGACCGAUAGUGAACCAGUACCGUGAGGGAAAGGUGAAAAGCACCCCGGAAGGGGAGUGAAACAGUUCCUGAAACCGUGUGCCUACAAGUAGUUAGAGCCCGUUAAUGGGUGAUAGCGUGCCUUUUGUAGAAUGAACCGGCGAGUUACGAUUUGUUGCAAGGUUAAGCGGAAAAAGCGGAGCCGUAGCGAAAGCGAGUCUGAAUAGGGCGCAUAAGUAACAGGUCGUAGACCCGAAACCAGGUGAUCUACCCAUGUCCAGGAUGAAGGUAAGGUAAUACUUACUGGAGGUCCGAACCCACGCACGUUGAAAAGUGCGGGGAUGAGGUGUGGGUAGCGGAGAAAUUCCAAUCGAACUUGGAGAUAGCUGGUUCUCUCCGAAAUAGCUUUAGGGCUAGCCUCGAGGUAAAGAGUCAUGGAGGUAGAGCACUGUUUGGACUAGGGGCCCUUCUCGGGUUACCGAAUUCAGAUAAACUCCGAAUGCCAUGUACUUAUACUCGGGAGUCAGACUGCGAGUGAUAAGAUCCGUAGUCGAAAGGGAAACAGCCCAGACCACCAGUUAAGGUCCCCAAAUAUAUGUUAAGUGGAAAAGGAUGUGGGGUUGCUUAGACAACCAGGAUGUUGGCUUAGAAGCAGCCACCAUUGAAAGAGUGCGUAAUAGCUCACUGGUCGAGUGACCCCGCGCCGAAAAUGUACCGGGGCUAAACAUAUUACCGAAACUGUGGAUGAACCUCUUUAGAGGUUCGUGGUAGGAGAGCGUUCUAAGGGCGGUGAAGUCAGACCGGAAGGACUGGUGGAGCGCUUAGAAGUGAGAAUGCCGGUAUGAGUAGCGAAAGAAGGGUGAGAAUCCCUUCCACCGAAUAUCUAAGGUUUCCUGAGGAAGGCUCGUCCGCUCAGGGUUAGUCGGGACCUAAGCCGAGGCCGAUAGGCGUAGGCGAUGGACAACAGGUAGAGAUUCCUGUACCAGUGCUAAUUGUUUAACCGAUGGGGUGACACAGAAGGAUAGGGAAUCGCACGAAUGGAAAUGUGCGUCCAAGCAGUGAGUGUGAGAAGUAGGCAAAUCCGCUUCUCGCGAAGCAUGAGCUGUGAUGGGGAAGGAAAUUAAGUACGGAAGUUCCUGAUUUCACGCUGUCAAGAAAAGCCUCUAGGAAGAGUAGUACUGCCCGUACCGCAAACCGACACAGGUAGAUGAGGAGAGAAUCCUAAGGUGAGCGAGAGAACUCUCGUUAAGGAACUCGGCAAAAUGACCCCGUAACUUCGGGAGAAGGGGUGCUCUAUUAGGGUGCAAGCCCGAGAGAGCCGCAGUGAAUAGGCCCAGGCGACUGUUUAGCAAAAACACAGGUCUCUGCAAAACCGUAAGGUGACGUAUAGGGGCUGACGCCUGCCCGGUGCUGGAAGGUUAAGAGGAGUGCUUAGCUUCGGCGAAGGUACGAAUUGAAGCCCCAGUAAACGGCGGCCGUAACUAUAACGGUCCUAAGGUAGCGAAAUUCCUUGUCGGGUAAGUUCCGACCCGCACGAAAGGCGCAACGAUCUGGGCACUGUCUCAACGAGAGACUCGGUGAAAUUAUAGUACCUGUGAAGAUGCAGGUUACCCGCGACAGGACGGAAAGACCCCGUGGAGCUUUACUGCAACCUGAUAUGGAAUGUUUGUACCGCUUGUACAGGAUAGGUAGGAGCCGAAGAGACGUGUGCGCUAGCAUACGAGGAGGCAAUGGUGGGAUACUACCCUGGCUGUAUGACCAUUCUAACCCGCCACGCUUAGCGCGUGGGGAGACAGUGUCAGGUGGGCAGUUUGACUGGGGCGGUCGCCUCCUAAAGAGUAACGGAGGCGCCCAA